rnacentral:rRNA from 1 species
GCCUAACAUCUAGCCCACACUACCCUCAUGAACCUUUUCUACACCCUCCCGUACACAACAAAACAUUUUAUCUCUUUAGUACAGGCGAUCGAAAAACUUAUAGGCGCUUCAGAUUAAGUACCGCAAGGGAAAGAGGAAAUAAAAAUGA